rnacentral:rRNA from 1 species
GACUCUCCGCUACGGAUAUCUCGGCUCUCGCAUCGAUGAAGAACGUAGCAAAAUACGAUACUUGGUGUGAAUUACAGAAUCCCGUGAACCAUCGAGUCUUUGAACGCAAGUUGCGCCCCAAGCCUUCUGGCCGAGGGCACGUCUGCCUCAGUGUCA